GCAAAACGCGAAGAACCUUACCAGGCCUUGACAUGCAGAGAACUUUCCAGAGAUGGUUCCUUCAGUUCGGCUGGAUACAACACAGGUGCUGCAUGGCUGUCGUCAGCUCGUGUCGUGAGAUGUUCGGUUAAGUCCGGCAACGAGCGCAACCCACACUUUCAGUUGCCAUCAUUCAGUUGGGCACUCUGGAAGAACUGCCGGUGAUAAGCCGGAGGAAGGUGUGGAUGACGUCAAGUCCUCAUGGCCCUUACGGGUUGGGCUACACACGUGCUACAAUGGUGGUGACAAUGGGUUAAUCCCCAAAAGCCAUCUCAGUUCGGAUUGGGGUCUGCAACUCGACCCCAUGAAGUCGGAAUCGCUAGUAAUCGCGUAACAGCAUGACGCGGUGAAUACGUUCCCGGGUCUUGUACACACCG
rnacentral:rRNA from 1 species